rnacentral:rRNA from 1 species
AACGAACGCUGGCGGCAGGCUUAACACAUGCAAGUCGAGCGCCCCGCAAGGGGAGCGGCAGACGGGUGAGUAACGCGUGGGAACGUACCUUUUGGUUCGGAACAACUCCGGGAAACUGGAGCUAAUACUGGAUAAGCCCUAACGGGGAAAGAUUUAUCGCCGAAAGAUCGGCCCGCGUCUGAUUAGCUAGUUGGUGAGGUAACGGCUCACCAAGGCGACGAUCAGUAGCUGGUCUGAGAGGAUGAUCAGCCACACUGGGACUGAGACACGGCCCAGACUCCUACGGGAGGCAGCAGUGGGGAAUAUUGGACAAUGGGCGCGAGCCUGAUCCAGCCAUGCCGCGUGAGUGAUGAAGGCCUUAGGGUUGUAAAGCUCUUUUGUCCGGGAAGAUAAUGACUGUACCGGAAGAAUAAGCCCCGGCUAACUUCGUG